UUAAGCGACUAAGCGUACACGGUGGAUGCCCUGGCAGUCAGAGGCGAUGAAGGACGUGCUAAUCUGCGAAAAGCGUCGGUAAGGUGAUAUGAACCGUUACAGCCGGCGAUGUCCGAAUGGGGAAACCCAGUGCAAUUCGUUGCACUAUCGUUAACUGAAUACAUAGGUUAACGAGGCGAACCGGGGGAACUGAAACAUCUAAGUACCCCGAGGAAAAGAAAUCAACCGAGAUUCCCCCAGUAGCGGCGAGCGAACGGGGAGCAGCCCAGAGUCUGAAUCAGCUUGUGUGUUAGUGGAACGGUCUGGAAAGUCCGACGGUACAGGGUGAUAGUCCCGUACACGAAAAUGCACAGGUUGUGAACUCGAAGAGUAGGGCGGGACACGUGGUAUCCUGUCUGAAUAUGGGGGGACCAUCCUCCAAGGCUAAAUACUCCUGACUGACCGAUAGUGAACCAGUACCGUGAGGGAAAGGCGAAAAGAACCCCGGCGAGGGGAGUGAAAAAGAACCUGAAACCGUGUACGUACAAGCAGUGGGAGCCUACUUGUUAGGUGACUGCGUACCUUUUGUAUAAUGGGUCAGCGACUUAUAUUCUGUAGCAAGGUUAACCGUAUAGGGGAGCCGCAGGGAAACCGAGUCUUAACUGGGCGUUAAGUUGCAGGGUAUAGACCCGAAACCCGGUGAUCUAGCCAUGGGCAGGUUGAAGGUUGGGUAACACUAACUGGAGGACCGAACCGACUAAUGUUGAAAAAUUAGCGGAUGACUUGUGGCUGGGGGUGAAAGGCCAAUCAAACCGGGAGAUAGCUGGUUCUCCCCGAAAGCUAUUUAGGUAGCGCCUCGUGAACUCAUCUUCGGGGGUAGAGCACUGUUUCGGCUAGGGGGUCAUCCCGACUUACCAACCCGAUGCAAACUACGAAUACCGAAGAAUGUUAUCACGGGAGACACACGGCGGGUGCUAACGUCCGUCGUGAAGAGGGAAACAACCCAGACCGCCAGCUAAGGUCCCAAAGUCAUGGUUAAGUGGGAAACGAUGUGGGAAGGCACAGACAGCCAGGAUGUUGGCUUAGAAGCAGCCAUCAUUUAAAGAAAGCGUAAUAGCUCACUGGUCGAGUCGGCCUGCGCGGAAGAUGUAACGGGGCUAAACCAUGCACCGAAGCUGCGGCAGCGACACUAUGUGUUGUUGGGUAGGGGAGCGUUCUGUAAGCCUGCGAAGGUGACCUGUGAGGGUUGCUGGAGGUAUCAGAAGUGCGAAUGCUGACAUAAGUAACGAUAAAGCGGGUGAAAAGCCCGCUCGCCGGAAGACCAAGGGUUCCUGUCCAACGUUAAUCGGGGCAGGGUGAGUCGACCCCUAAGGCGAGGCCGAAAGGCGUAGUCGAUGGGAAACAGGUUAAUAUUCCUGUACUUGGUGUUACUGCGAAGGGGGGACGGAGAAGGCUAUGUUAGCCGGGCGACGGUUGUCCCGGUUUAAGCAUGUAGGCUGGUUAUCCAGGCAAAUCCGGAUAAUCAAGGCUGAGGUGUGAUGACGAGGCACUACGGUGCUGAAGUAACAAAUGCCCUGCUUCCAGGAAAAGCCUCUAAGCAUCAGGUAACAUCAAAUCGUACCCCAAACCGACACAGGUGGUCAGGUAGAGAAUACCAAGGCGCUUGAGAGAACUCGGGUGAAGGAACUAGGCAAAAUGGUGCCGUAACUUCGGGAGAAGGCACGCUGGUGUGUAGGUGAAGCCCCUGCGGGUGGAGCUGAGACCAGUCGAAGAUACCAGCUGGCUGCAACUGUUUAUUAAAAACACAGCACUGUGCAAACACGAAAGUGGACGUAUACGGUGUGACGCCUGCCCGGUGCCGGAAGGUUAAUUGAUGGGGUUAGCGGUAACGCGAAGCUCUUGAUCGAAGCCCCGGUAAACGGCGGCCGUAACUAUAACGGUCCUAAGGUAGCGAAAUUCCUUGUCGGGUAAGUUCCGACCUGCACGAAUGGCGUAA
rnacentral:rRNA from 1 species